GAUGAACGCUGGCGGCGUGCCUAACACAUGCAAGUCGAGCGUGAUUUAUGAGGACGAAACUUCGGUCUAGGAAUCAUAAUGAAAGCGGCGGACGGGUGAGUAACGCGUAGGCAACCUGCCCUUAACACAGGGAUAGCCUCGGGAAACCGGGAUUAAAACCUGAUGAUGCCAAAGAGUCACAUGGCUCGUUGGCCAAAGAUUUAUCGGUCAAGGAUGGGCCUGCGUCUGAUUAGUUUGUUGGUGGGGUAACGGCCUACCAAGACUACGAUCAGUAGCCGACCUGAGAGGGUGAUCGGCCACAUUGGAACUGAGACACGGUCCAAACUCCUACGGGAGGCAGCAGUGGGGAAUAUUGCACAAUGGGCGAAAGCCUGAUGCAGCAACGCCGCGUGAGCGAUGAAGGCCUUUGGGUCGUAAAGCUCUGUCCUUGGGGAAGAAACAAAUGACGGUACCCAAGGAGGAAGCCCCGGCUAACUACGUGCCAGCAGCCGCAGUAA
rnacentral:rRNA from 1 species